AUUGAACGCUGGCGGCAGGCCUAACACAUGCAAGUCGAGCGGAGCGGGGGACAGGGGAGUGAUUCCUAGGAAUGUGACAGGUAGUGGGGGAUAAGGUUCGGAAAAGGACGCUAAUACCGCAUAAUAUAGGAAGAGCCUAGGUCGGAUUAGCUGGUUGGUGAGGUAAUGGCUCACAAAGGCUACGAUCCGUAACUGGUCUGAGAGGAUGAUAAGUCACACUGGAACUGAGACACGGUCCAGACUCCUACGGGAGGCAGCAGUGGGGAAUAUUGGACAAUGGGCGCAAGCCUGAUCCAGCCAUGCCGCGUGUGUGAAGAAGGUCUUCGGAUUGUAAAGCACUUUAAGUUGGGAGGCGUUACCGACAGAAUAAGCACCGGCUAACUCUGUGCCAGCAGCCGCGGUAAUAC
rnacentral:rRNA from 1 species